UUAUAUGUCCAUGAUUUAUCCUAAAAAUUAGCAAAGAUAAUUUUGUAUAUUCUUAAGGUGUUGAAAAUUUGAGACAUACAUUAUUAGUAGUUAAUUUCUAAAUACUCCCGAUCGAAGGAUCGUCAUAGAGGAUAGUGAUCAAUCUAUUUAAGAUUGAUGCAUGGAUCACCUUUCUUCUGGACAGAUGAGUCUCGAGCCUGC
rnacentral:lncRNA from 1 species